rnacentral:piRNA from 1 species
UACCCAGAAUUGUUAUUGGCUUUGCAGAU